rfam:Ovis aries breed Texel chromosome 5, whole genome shotgun sequence.
UCCCUGAUGUCUCAGUUGGUAAAGAACCUGCCUACGAUGCAGGAGACCCAGGUUCAAUCCCUGGUUUGGGAA